UGAUACCAGGGUCAAAAGGUGGUAAAUCCGAUGCAAGCUUGCUUGCAGGAGGAUUUUUGAACUUGGGCCCCGCUACAAACAUGAGUAAGAAGCCAUUUUUUUUAAAAAAUGAGCGGAUUACGAAUGUUUUUAGGAUUGCGUGAGUGCAACGCACGUAGCAAUCCGGUAUCU
rnacentral:sRNA from 1 species